UAGAGCGGUCAGGGUUCGGAACCCCUCCCCGAGCCCAGGGUAACUCUCAAGGUGGAGGGGAA
rfam:Otolemur garnettii contig054032, whole genome shotgun sequence.